GAUGAACGCUGGCGGCGUGCCUAAUACAUGCAAGUCGAGCGAACAGACGAGGAACUUGCUCCUCUGACGUUAGCGGCGGACGGGUGAGUAACACGUGGAUAACCUACCUAUAAGACUGGGAUAACUUCGGGAAACCGGAGCUAAUACCGGAUAAUAUAUUGAACCGCAUGGUUCAAUAGUGAAAGACGGUUUUGCUGUCACUUAUAGAUGGAUCCGCGCCGCAUUAGCUAGUUGGUAAGGUAACGGCUUACCAAGGCAACGAUGCGUAGCCGACCUGAGAGGGUGAUCGGCCACACUGGAACUGAGACACGGUCCAGACUCCUACGGGAGGCAGCAGUAGGGAAUCUUCCGCAAUGGGCGAAAGCCUGACGGAGCAACGCCGCGUGAGUGAUGAAGGUCUUCGGAUCGUAAAACUCUGUUAUUAGGGAAGAAGAAAUGUGUAAGUAACUAUGCACGUCUUGACGGUACCUAAUCAGAAAGCCACGGCUAACUACGUG
rnacentral:rRNA from 1 species